rnacentral:rRNA from 1 species
AACGAACGCUGGCGGCAUGCCUAACACAUGCAAGUCGAACGAAACCUUCGGGUCUAGUGGCGCACGGGUGCGUAACGCGUGGGAACCUGCCCUUGGGUUCGGUAUAACUCCCCGAAAGGGGUCCUAAUACCGGUUAAUGUCUUCGGACAAAGGAUUUAUCGCUUUUGGAUGGGCCCGCGUUGGUUUAGCUGGUUGGUAGGGUACAAGCAUACCAAGGGGACGUUGCAUAGCUGGUGUGAGAGGAUGAUCAGCCACACUGGGACUGAGACACGGCCCAGACUGCGACGGGAGGCAGCAGUAGGGAAUAUUAGACGAUGAGCGAAAGCCUAACCCAGCAAUGCCGCGUGAGUGAUGAAGGCCUUAGGGUUGUAAUGCUCUUUUACCCGAGAUGAGAAUGACAGUACCGGGUGAAUAAGCUCCGGCUAACUCCGUG